rnacentral:rRNA from 1 species
UACGUAGGGGGCGAGCGUUGUCCGGAAUUAUUGGGCGUAAAGGGCGUGUAGGCGGCCUCUUAAGUCCGGUGUGAAAGCCCCCGGCUCAACCGGGGAGGGUCACUGGAAACUGGGGGGCUUGAGAGCAGGAGAGGAGAGCGGAAUUCCACGUGUAGCGGUGAAAUGCGUAGAGAUGUGGAGGAACACCAGUGGCGAAGGCGGCUCUCUGGCCUGGCUCUGACGCUGAGGCGCGAAAGCGUGGGGAGCAAAC